AAUCGUCGGACGUGAAUAAGCCAGCACCCAUCAAAAAAGCUAACGAGGCAGAUUCUCUGCUCCUGAAGCCUCGAGCUUCCAUCAACCUUCAAUAACCACUGUUCUUGAUGCUAAUCGUCGUUCCCGUCGCAGAUUAUGGAGUCCAUGUCUCACUCUUCGACCUUUCUUCUGCCUGUGUUUUCGCCGGAGAACAACCGCCCUUCCUUAACUCACGUACUCGUUAUUCUGAACCAGCCCCUGCCGAGAUUCGCUCCUCUGCUCUGGGAGCACGCACAACUACGAGUAUGCGCUGAUGGAGGUGCCAAUCGGUUAUACGAUGAAAUGCCUCUACUCUUGCCCCAUGAAGAUGCCUCAUGUGUUCGAAGCAGGUACAUGCCAGAUGCAAUUAAAGGUGACAUGGAUUCAAUACGGUCUGAAGUACUUGACUUCUAUAAAGUCCUGGGAACUAAUAUAAUAGAUGAAUCUCAAGAUCAGGACACCACAGAUUUACACAAAUGUGUCGAACACAUUCAUGACUGUACUUCAGAUACGGAUAAAUCAUCACUAAGGAUUCUUGUAACUGGAGCACUUGGUGGGCGAUUUGACCAUGAGAUUGGAAACAUAAAUGUUCUGUGCCGUUUCUCUGAUACUCGAAUUAUUCUUCUAUCUGACGAUUGCCUCAUUCACCUUCUUCCAAUGAAUUACCAUCAUAAAAUCCACAUUCAAUCUUCGGUCGAGGGUCCACAUUGUGGGCUCAUCCCCAUUGGGAUGCCAUCUGGAAGUUCUACUACCACUGGGCUCCAGUGGGAUCUCAAUGACACGGAGAUGAAGUUUGGUGGUUUAGUAAGCACAUCGAAUAUAGUAAAAGGAGAUUUAGUCACAGUACAAUCUGAUUCAGAUCUUCUGUGGACAAUUUCUAUCAAGAAGCCCUAGUAUUUUAGAUGAUUCAGGACACAUUUGAUGCUUCAGAUCUAUUAUACCUGCGCAGGACGGCUGCAUGGCGUAACCAAGCGUGCUGGUAUCCUGGGACUGAAGUUUCUUGAGCCCAAGAAAGAAAAAGAAGGAUGUAGUUUUGAGUUUUGACUGUGUAUCUGGAACUUGGUGAAUGAACAUAGGGAUUGACUGUAUAUCUGGUACUAGGUGAAUGAAAAUAGGGAACUUUUUUCGGGUGGAAAAGGAGACAAUGAACAUAGAGAACUUAAAGGCUAGUAAAUCCUCAAGGACUUGCUAGAAUAGCAUGGCCAGCCAGUGUGUAAAUUGACAAUCAUGAUGGGGAGCUGCACAGGUUCUUCCAAUAUUCUAUUAUCAAGAGGAGAUUUUUAGGUCCUCCUAGAGCACCAUGUCA